GGGGCCGUAGCUCAGAUGGGAGAGCGCAUGACUGGCAGUCAUGAGGUCGAGGGUUCGAUCCCCUUCGGCUCCA
rnacentral:tRNA from 1 species